rnacentral:lncRNA from 1 species
UGUAUACAACAUGUAUAUAGCUGCCAUUACAGACCAAGAACUCAUUCAUGGAAGGGCCACUCAGGAGGGGAAUAUAGAAAGUGCUCAGUUACAUGUGUGUUGCUCCUCCUCCAGCAAACACUCACUGACACAGAGUCCUCGGCAGAGUUUUCCAGUGUGCGCAGCCUCCUGCAAGUCUAGAGGAGUGGAUGUGUGCGUCUGAUGGCAAGGGCCCACCCCUGAGAUAUUACCUCAUUAUGCAAAAAUUACAUAUCCUUCCUGACUAUUUUGACUAAAGCUUAAAAACCACGUCUGAUAAAGUUCAGCUCUGAGGAACCCAGGACUGCGAGAAAACGUCCACCUCUAUGUUAUGCAUGCAUCUAAACGCUUAUCCGAAUUCUGCCUUUUAUAAAGGAGCAAACCGUAUGAAGAAGCGAACUGUACAUUUUUAAACUCGAUUGCCAUUAAAGCAGAAGUUACAAGAUUGCAACAGUAACUCGUUUCUGGUCACUCAUUUGGGCUUCUCCAGAGUGUUUGCACACCGCAGCCCCCACCCCCCGCCCCCCUCAACUGUUUUGAAGCAUCCAAAGUGUCAGUUUGAAAUAAUUUUCUUCAUUUUGUUCUUGAUUAAACCUUUACUAUUC